rnacentral:rRNA from 1 species
CCUACGGGCGGCAGCAGUGGGGGAUAUUGGACAAUGGGGGGAACCCUGAUCCAGCGACGCCGCGUGAGUGAAGAAGUAUUUCGGUAUGUAAAGCUCUGUCAGCAGGGAAGAAAGAAAUGACGGUACCUGACCAAGAAGCCCCGGCUAACUACGUGCCAGCAGCCGCGGUAAUACGGAGGGGGCAAGCGUUAUCCGGAAUUACUGGGUGUAAAGGGAGCGUAGACGGUUAAGUAAGUCUGGAGUGAAUGGCCGGGGCCCAACCCCGGGACUGCUCUGGAAACUAUUGAACUUGAGUGCAGGAGAGGUAAGCGGAAUUCCUAGUGUAGCGGUGAAAUGCGUAGAUAGUAGGAGGAACACCAGUGGCGAAGGCGGCUUACUGGACUGUAACUGACGUUGAGGCUCGAAAGCGUGGGGAGCAAACAGGAUUAGAUACCCGAGUAGUC